CUCUGUGUGUGUGUCCCUCUGUCUUCAAACAGAAGCGUAACCAGGAAAAGGCCCUUAUCCAUCACCUUCCCAUUAAGAAAGGCCCCGGUCUAAACUGCAUGUCUGUUGUAUCUCAUCAACUAGUUAUCCUGCUAAGUGUUGCCAGGUUCCUGGAGAGAAAUAAGCAAGCAG